CAGCUUAUGGUAUCUACCUGAUGGUGGGAACCUUCAUUCACAACAAGAUGCAGAAGAUCAGACAAGGGAAGAUGACAGGACGGAGGGGUCCACGUGCUACGGGUACCUGGGUGGAACCAGGAGGAAGUGGACAUUCACAUCCCCGUAACCCUCCAUCCCAGCAUCUUGACAUUUCCAUGGCAACCAAAGACCAGCACCUCUCAGUAUGCAGUGAAGGCCCAUGGCAGAAGGAACUUCAGCUGAUCUUCAUCAAGCUCC